CCCCUCCUCUGACACGCCUGUGCUGCGGGAGGCUGAGCCGCUUAAAAGGAAAGCAAAAGCUUCCGUGUGCGCCCGCUGCUGGGAGAGGCACGGGAGAGGAGGGCACUCCACACCGGCACCCCUGCCCACGCUGGGCGAGGGUGCGGGUUCCUGCGCUCGACUCUUCCCCGGCACCAUCGUGUACCAAAGCAGCUACUUGUAGUAAACAGAUUCAUCAUACAACAGAGCGCAGGAAGGUGAGACAGAAGCAGAAACAGAAACUAACAC